GCUAAGCGCCCACUUAUGCUCGGAUCUCCGGCGGAAUGGGUGAAAACGGGGGCCACCUGAAUGGGCACAAAGAUAUAACUUGUUUCCCGCAUGAUUGAUAGUUGGAUUGGAAGCGACUCGGUGGAUUGCAGAGGAAGGAAGGGCUUCAAUAGGAAUAAUGCGCACAAAGAAUGGAUGUUGAAGUCAAACAUUGGAGUGCGGAUAUUGCUUUUUGAUUUCUAUUAAU
ensembl:ncRNA lncRNA:CR44730 long non-coding RNA:CR44730